GACGGCGUUGAGGGAGAGGUUGGUGUGGAUGUAUCCGGGGCUGAUGACGGUCACCUCGAUGUCAUGCUGCUCCACCUCGGCCCGCAGACAGUCGAAGAAGGCCUGGGUCGCGUGUUUGGAGGCCGCGUCUGCAAAGCUUCCACAGGAUGGCCUUUCAUCUGGAAGAGCUGUCCGGGCCCCCUCCGCUCCCCAGCAACAGCCUCUCUGCACAGCGUCAGGUGCUCUGAGGGGACAGCGGAGCCCUCCGAUGGCACUCCUGGGAAA